rnacentral:lncRNA from 1 species
CAGGAAUGGGGGCUUCCCAGAGAGUGCCAGCACACGCUUCUCAACCAUGGUGCACUCCACGUCGUCAUCCUGGAUGACCACGUCCUUCUUCAGGAUCUUCACAGCGUAGAGUUCAUCCGUGCCCUUUCUCUCAGCCAGCAUCACCUUCCCAAAGCUUCCCUUCCCCAGAACCAUCAGGAAAUUGAAAUCUGAGAGCUUCAUCCGAUCUCUGCUCCCGUUGUUAUCGAACUUAGAAAUGGCGUUUGUCGUCUUCUCAUCCGCAGCCUUGGAGCCCGUGCCAAUCUUG